GUUCCAAAUGUAAUCUCCCCAACCCCACAACAUUUGCUUCAACACAAACAACUUUUCCCCAUACCAUCAACAUCAACUGGUCUUCAUGUCCCCAUGGAGAGGGCAGCUAAGAAACUCAGCAGGAUUCAGAUCUCAUUCAUGUUAUCCUCUGGAUCCAGAAGGAAGAGCACCUCUCCCCUGUGCUAGUCCCAGCAUCCAUUGGUUUUCCUGUCCUGGCUGGAGGGGCCUGUUACAAAGUGCUUCCUUUGGUUACGGCAUUCGUGAGCUUUCUGGGCAUUGUUUUGUUUUUGAUUGCAGAGCAGGUGUAGCUUCUCACUGUAGGCAGCUAAUAACUUCACCUGUUUCCCAUCUGCCUUCACCGCUCUGAGUUUAACCUCUUACCGAUGGGAAGAAAGUAGCAAAUCAGGAAGCCCAGGCUGCCCGUGUGGAGGGCACAUCGCUGGCUGUGGUUUCAUGUGUCUCUGCCAAUAACCAGAGGUGGGUUUACUUUCCUCCUGAGUUUUUUGUUUUGUUUUGUUUUGUUUUUUGAGAUGGAAUCUCGCUCUCUCUCCCAGGCCGGAGUGCAGUGGUGCGAUCUCUACAGAUCACUGCAACCUCCGUCCCCCAGGUUCAAGCAAUUCUCCUAACUCAGCCUCCGGAGUAGCUGGGAUUACAGGCAUGCGCCACCACACCCAGCUAAUUUUUGUAAUUUUAGUAGAGACGGGGUUUUGCCAUGUUGGCCAGGCUGGUCUCAAACUCCUGACCUUAGGUGAUCCACCUCGGCCGCCCAAAGUGCUGGGAUUACGGGUGUGAGCCACCACGCCUUGCCCUGAGUUCUUUAUACCUGGGCUCCAAGUUGCUUAAUUCAUCACACUAGGAGCAUGAAGCUCGAUCAGAACACCUUUGUUUUCAUCCUUUCCUAGUUCAUCAAAACUUGCUGCUGCCACUACUCGGAGGCUCACGAAGAUUGAGGGGCUGUGCUCUCAUUUCAGAUGUUCUUCCAGGUUACUACCAAUGCCAUUCCUCCAGGUUUCCACCAACGCCAUUCCUCCUGCAUGCCCCCCCACACGGCAAACUGUCCUCCAUCAGAGCUCUGAGAGCCACAACUCCAGCGGUGCCUUCUAAGCCCCAAGUCAGAAAAGUUAUGGCCCAAAGUCUGCAGCUAGCUAUGACAAAGAUGGGAUUCUGUCCAGCACCCAGAAACUUUUGUGCCACCAAAUUGUUCUGUUUCUCCAAUCAUUAGACUCUUUCAUGUUCUUUGAACAGUUCCCAUCAAAGUAAGUCAUGAAUGGGUCACUUCUUUGUAUCAAAUAUUGAUUCUCCUUUGUCUCCUGAGAGCAGAAUGUUUUCCUGGAUAAAUUGCUUUCAUCUUGCCACUCUAUGUGUUUCAAUGACCUAUUGCUGAAUAACAAAUCACCGUGAAACAUCGUGACUCAAAGUAACACUUCAGUGAUUUCCCAUGGUCCUGUGACCUGCGUGGGUGGCUCUUCAUGGGUGUCCCCAUGGAUUGCUCACACCAGUGUGUCUGUCUUGGGGCUGGGCUGGCCAAAAGGACCAUGAAGGUGUCUUGUACAUCUGAGGGCUGGGUGCUGGCUGUACGCUGGAGAUCAUGGGUUCGCUCCCCACCCCAGGUCUCUCUGUCCCCGUGUAGUGUCUCAUCCUCCAGGGUUCCCCGUGUUGCUGCUGUCUCCAGGAGAAC
rnacentral:lncRNA from 1 species